CCUACGGGAGGUUGCAGUGAGGAAUAUUGGUCAAUGGACGAGAGUCUGAACCAGCCAAGUAGCGUGAAGGAUGACUGCCCUAUGGGUUGUAAACUUCUUUUAUAUGGGAAUAAAAUGUUCCACGUGUGGGAUUUUGUAUGUACCAUAUGAAUAAGGAUCGGCUAACUCCGUGCCAGCAGCCGCGGUAAUACGGAGGAUCCGAGCGUUAUCCGGAUUUAUUGGGUUUAAAGGGAGCGUAGGUGGAUUGUUAAGUCAGUUGUGAAAGUUUGCGGCUCAACCGUAAAAUUGCAGUUGAAACUGGCAGUCUUGAGUACAGUAGAGGUGGGCGGAAUUCGUGGUGUAGCGGUGAAAUGCUUAGAUAUCACGAAGAACUCCGAUUGCGAAGGCAGUUCACUGGACUGCAACUGACACUGAGGCUCGAAAGUGUGGGUAUCAAACAGGAUUAGAUACCCUAGUAGUC
rnacentral:rRNA from 1 species